rnacentral:rRNA from 1 species
GACGAACGCUGGCGGCGUGCCUAAUACAUGCAAGUCGAACGCACUUUCGUUAGAUUGAAGAAGCUUGCUUCUGAUUGAUAACAUUUGAGUGAGUGGCGGACGGGUGAGUAACACGUGGGUAACCUGCCCUAAAGUGGGGGAUAACAUUUGGAAACAGAUGCUAAUACCGCAUAAAACCUAGCACCGCAUGGUGCAAGGUUGAAAGAUGGUUUCGGCUAUCACUUUAGGAUGGACCCGCGGUGCAUUAGUUAGUUGGUGAGGUAAAGGCUCACCAAGACCGUGAUGCAUAGCCGACCUGAGAGGGUAAUCGGCCACACUGGGACUGAGACACGGCCCAGACUCCUACGGGAGGCAGCAGUAGGGAAUCUUCCACAAUGACGAAAGUCUGAUGGAGCAACGCCGCGUGAGUGAAGAAGGUUUUCGGAUCGUAAAACUCU